GCGGCACAUGGGCGGAUGCAGCUCCUUAUAUACAGCUCAGUCACCAUGGGGAUGGGCCUUGGCCUUUUCCUGUUGGUCCAGACCCCUCUGUCUGCCCAGAGAAGCCGUGACAGGAGAGUGGUGAUUGGUGCAAGCGACAUGGUAUGAGGAAAUGGAUUAAGGUGCCAUUCUUCUGCUAUUUAGAAAGCCUCCAUUAUCAGCGAGGAUCAUCUAGAAAAAGGCUCUGAGCUGCAGACCACUGAACAUUUGCUGGAUAAAAAUUCAGAGAAAUCUACAGAUCUCUUGGCUUUUUAAAUUCGUGUGCGUCCAGCAAAGGCAGAAGAGAGCCUGGGUCUGUUUCCGAGGUGAGGCUGACGCAGGAUUCGGUUACAUCGUGAGUGGCUUGGACGUGGCGAUGUGUGCACGCUGCCCGGCUCUUCUUUGUCUGAGCUCCCCGGCCUUCUGCCAGCUUGGCAGGCACAAAACCUCGAGAAAAUUCAGCUGCGCCGCCAUCUGCUGGACGUUUGAAGACACUGCAGGAACCCGUAGGUUGAACAAAGGUGGUUGGGGUUGUCAGUGAAGACCUAGCUUUUUGCCCAGGAACUAGUGCCAAGGCAAGGAUACAUUCCGUCUGCUCAUCCAAAAACAAACAAACAAACGAAAAAACACUAAACAGACCCUUUGCUAGAAAGGAGUCUCCGUGUUGAGAAGCACUUGGAUCUGAACGAACUGGGAUUGAUGGCCACACGAGAAAGCCCAGGGCUGCUAUGGAAAGGCAGAAUCUCUUCAUCCAUGCUGGGCACUAGCUAAAAACUAAAACGUUGUUUUCCAUCGCUGCACACAGGGGGUUUCGGGGACAGAAGUCACAUUGCCCUUGUUCUCCUGAGCGGACUGCUUUUGCUAAAUGGAAAUGAUUCAAAAGGUGAACGGUGGCAGAAACAAAAAUCGAUCUGGGGGCUGGAAGGUGCUCAGAUGUAGCCCUGGCGGGGUUUGAUACGAGAUCGAGAAACCCUGCCACCAUUUUCCAACCUCUAGAGUCACUUCUGAUUCACUUGAAGAUUUUUCUAUUUAGCAGCUGCAGACCCUUUUCACACGAGGGACUGACCCCAUUUGCAAAUACAUUUAUAUAUGUGCUUUCAAAGAAACAUUGUUUGUUUGAAGCGGUUAUUGAAACAGUCCAUCCAGCAGUGUUACAACGCUGCUAUAACCCGCACGGCACUCUGAAGUCUCUUGGGGAACUGGCCAACAGCAGAAUGAAGACCAGGGUCAGACGUGCCCACCCACCUGGGAAAAGCGGGUUCCACGGCAGAAGCCUUAGUAAUGGAAACACAUUAACAAAACAUAGCUCUGACCCCACGUUGCUAUUAACAAAAGCUUUUGUAAUCUGGAAUGAGCUUUCAGUGUUUUUCCUGAAAGAGAUGAAAUGGCUUGAUCAACCAUGUAGCCUACAGGAGCCUGGCUGAUUACAAAAUCCUUGGGGUCCAUGUCAGGUGACUUCCAUAUUCAGUGUGUUCUAAGGGCCUCCUACAUUUCUUCAAUAACUAAGCCCUCCAGGGGAGAGACUGUCUGGUCCUACUUUUAGAAAAGGUAGCCGUCUCCAGAGUGCUUGGAGAAGAUACUACAGCAACCAAGGAAACAAAGAAAUGAAAGUUCCCUAUAGCAAGUCCUGGAUGGACUGUGUCAGAAAAUGGAGCAUGGUUUUGUCGAUUUUUUAUAGUAUUUAUUUACUGUGUGUACAGUGUUCUGCUUGCACACCAAGUGAGGGCGCCAGAUCUCACUAUAGAUGAAAAACAGCCAGUGCUUUGAACCUCUGAGCCAUAUCUCCGCCCCUUGUUGAUUUUUUAAAAUUUAAAUAACAUUUUUUUCCAUUUAUUUUACAUACUGGCUGCAGUUUCUUCUUCCUCCUCUUCUCACACCUCCCCCCAUUUGUUUUUUAAAGUCUUUCUAUGUAGCUCUGGCUUGGGACACUAUUGCUUCAGCCUCGCAAAUUAUUAUACACACAUAUACACAUAUAUCCAUAUAUGCAUAUCUCACAUAUAUGUGCACAUAUCUUGUCUAACUAUAUAAAUUAUGCACUUUAUAUAAAUUCUUUAUUCUAUGUAUCAUAUAGAGGACAGCAACUGCACAGUGAUCUUGAAAGUGGCUGAUUUUGUGCCGUGGGAGGAUGGAGCAGAGAGAGGCAGCCAGAAAACCUGAAAGGGGAAAAGAUUAUCCUGACAGCCGGAGACCUCAGAAAACCAGCGGUGUUUCUGUGGACGGCAAGAAGCUAUCAGAGGAACAGAAACCCUCAGGGGCAUUCCACUGUGGGCUGCCUGGGUUCUUUCCACGUAUGGGAAUAAAUACAGUUAUUAAAUAGACACUGCUAGCCAGGCAGUGGUGGCACGCGCCUUUAAUUCCAGCAUGCAGGAGACAGAGGCAGGUGGAUCUCUGAGUUCAAGGCUAGCCUGGUCUACACAGUGGAUUCCAGGACAACCAGGGCUAAUCACAGAAACCCUGUUUCGAAAAACAAAAACAAACAAAUGAAUAAAUAAAUAUUGCUAUAAGUAGAGAAGGAUCCAGACUCUAGAGUAUCGUACACUUGCUGGAAUAAUAGUGCAGAUAACUGAAAAUUUGAGGUGUUUUUAAUUCUCUUCAACACUUUUACCCAUGUGCCCUAAAGGGACAGGGAGGAGAGGGAUUUUGUUGUUUCUUUUUGAUGUGGGGCUCAAACCUAGGACCUUACAUGAUCAGCAAGCGCCACUGACCUCUCUCCAUCUGAAAUGGCUUUUUUUCCUUUAAAGGUUUCAUUUUAUUAUUUAUUCACCUGUUGAACACUCUAAAACUGGAGUUACAGAUGGUUGUGAGCCCCCAUGUGGGUGCUGGGAAUCGAACUCGUCCUCUGGAAGAGCAUCCAGUGCUCUUAGCUGCUGACCUGUUUCUCCAGGCCCCAGAAGUGCUUCUUGAUACCAGGAAAGGUAGCAGGUUUGAGGAAGAAGACUGAAUCCAAACGCAUCGAAUUUGGGGAACAUACAGGGCUGAUCAGAACUAAGUCAAAUGACAUCACAUGUGAUUUCAGAGAUGAAAGGUGAUUAUGUGGCUGGUUAUUUUCCAAAAUGGAGCUAGCGAAGCCAAGCCUGGUGGGAUAGGCUUCUAGUCUCAGCUACUAGGGAGGCUGAGGCAGCGUUGUAGGGUAUCCACCAGAGAACACUGCUCAGACAUUGAUUUGAGCCAAUAGAAAAUCUUUAUUAGCAACCUGGCUACUAUACUGAAUUUUUGCUUUUGUUUUUCGAGACAGGGUUUCUCUGUAGCUUUGGAGCCUGACCUAGAACUAACUAGCUCUUGUAGACCAGGCUGGCCUCUGCCUCCUGAGUGCUGGGAUUAAAAGCAUGCGUCACCACCACCCGGCUCAUACUGGAUAUUUGGGAUCCCAGUGUAGCGCCAAGCCUUUCUCAGGGUGAGCAGUUGAGCACAAAAACCUUGUCCUGAGUUGACAUACUUCAUUUAGCAAGAACAGUUAGCCAGAAACAGAACCACAGAAGCCAAAAGGCAAGGUUUAUACAUUUAGAGACUUUCCUAGAACUAAGUAUGGACUUUGAUGGAUUAGGUCUUUGUUUUUGCUUUGGCAGGUGGUGCUGUCUAUGUGCUGAGAUUUUUUUUUUUUUAAUUAUUUAUUAUGUAUACAACAUUCUGCCUCAAUGUAUGCCCGCACGCCAGAAGAGGGCGCCAGAUCUCAGUACAGAUGGUUGUGAGCCACCAUGUGGUUGCUGGGAAUUGAACUCAGGACCUCUGGAAGAGCAGCCAGUGCUCUUAACCUCUGAGCCAUCUCUCCAGCCCCUAUGUGCUGAGUUUUAUGGCCUGCAUGGUUCUUCCAUCAUGGAAUCAAUUGUGUUGAGGUCUGGGGCCCUGUUACAGCAGGAGAUCUCAAGUUCAAGACCUGCCUGGCCACAGAGACCAGAGCUAGUGCGGUCUAUGCAAAUUCCUAACAAAUGCUGCUCCGCUAAAGAAGGCAUCUUUUAAGGACUAUACUGGGUGGACUGGAUGUGGGCUCAGUUGGUAGAGAGUUUGCCUGGCAUGCAAGAAGGUGUGGGUUUGAGCCCCAACAUCACACAAGCUACGAACACUGGCACACAGUUGGAGUAAGGCAAAGGAGUUUAAGGCCAUCCUUGGCUACACAGUGAAUUCAAGUCUAGCUUGGUCUAUAGAGUGAGAAAAAUAAGAAAAAUGGACAAAAGCCCACUUAUUUUCUGCGGUUUUGAUAAAACACAUCCUUUGUACCACAAUAAAUAAAUAUACAAAUGUCAUUGUGAUGGUUAAUGCUAAAUGUCAACUAGGUAGAAUCUAUAGUCACCUAGAAGAUAGGUCUGCUGGUAUGCCUCUGGAGGGUUAUCUUGGUUGCUUUGAUGUAGGAAGGCCAACCCACUGUGUGUGUGUGUGUGUGUGUGUGUGUGUGUGUGUGUGUGGGUCCAUUCCCUGGCGGGAUCCUGGACUGUGUAAGUGGAGAAAAGGAACCAAGCAGCAGCCUGCAUUCAUUGCUUUUUCCUGACUGUGCAUGCAAUGAUGCAAUGUCCCCCUGUUUCAGGCUCCUGCGAUCUGGACUUCUGGGACACGAUGGAUUGUUUUGUGUGUGUGUGUGUGUGUGUGUGUGUGUGUGUGUGUGUGUGUGAUCUCUGCAAACACUGUCCCUGGGAGGCAAGAAGAAAGUCUGCUUUAACAGGAUUCAAACUUCCAGGGUCUGACCCAGGGCAGUUUAUUUCAGGCAUGUUUGUGUACAGUACAAUUUAGAAAAAAGUUUUCUCAUGUGACACAAUCCUGUGUGCAUAAUAAAACUCUUCAGGUACAUGUCACCGUAAGGAUGUGUUCUGUGGAUAGACUGCAUGUGACAUCUUACAGGCUGGGAGGAUCUGGUGUGAUGUCAGUCAUACAGAUAGAGCAGAGGUCACCUUGUUAACAUUUCGGCCUUCUGGGCUGAAAACAGUUUAUAAAUCUCUUUUUUUGAAGAGACAACCCUAGCUGGGCAGUGGUGGCGGCACAGGCCUUUAAUCCCAGUACUCAAGAGGCAGAGGCAGGUGGAUCUGAGUUAAAGGUCACCCUGGUCUACUGAGUGAAUUUUAGGACAGGGCUGUACAGAGAAACCCUGUCUCGAAAUGGGGGGAAAAAAGAGAUACCACUGUGUAUUUCACAUCCCUGGUUUCUUUAGAGCAGAGGUUCUCAACCUGUGGGUUGUGACCCCUUUGAAGGUUGUGAGUAAGAAUUCUGCAUAUCAGAUAUUUACAUUAUGAUUCAUAACAGUACCAAAACUGCAGUCAUGAAGAAACAAUAAAAAUAAUUUUAUGGUUGGGAGUCACCACAACAUAAGGAAUUGUAUUAAAGGGUAACAGGAAGGCAGCAGAAGUGCAUACGUUUAAUUCCAACACUUUGAUCUCCAUGAGUCUGAGGCCAGCCUGAUCUACAAAGCGAGUUCCAGGACAGGCAGGGCUACUAACAAGCAACUCUGUCAUGGGGGUUGGAGAGAUGGCAAGUGGUUAAGAGAACUUGCUGCUCUUGCAGAGGUCUUAAAUUCUGUUCCCAGCACCCACAUGACUCCAUAACUGUCCAUGACCCCAGUUUCAAGGGACCCAGCACUUUGUUUUGGUCUCCUCUAACAGCAAUUGCAAAUGGUGCUGACCCACAGGCAAGCAAAACACUCACACGCGUGCUAACCCUCUAGCAGGAAAGCUAGGGUGUGGCUCAGCAUUUGAAUACCUGCCAAGCAGAUCCAGAGUUAGAUCCUUAGCACAAAAUAAAUCAGGUGUGGAAAUGUGUGCACAGCUGUGGUGCUAAGGGACAGCCGGCGGGGUCAGGAGUCUGAGGUCAUCUUCCACUCUGAUAUAGGAGAGUUUAUCAAAAAAAAACAAACAAUAAAAAAACAUCAAGGUGGUGGCGCGUGCCUUUAAUCCCGGCACUCAGGAGGCAGAGGUGGGCAGAUCUCUGUGAGUUCGAGGCCAACCUGGGCUACAAGAGCUAGUUCCAGGACAGGCUUAAAAGCUACAUAGAAACCCUGUCUCGAAAAACCAAUCAACCAACCAACCAAACAAACAAACAAAAAACCCAUCAGGAUAUACUAUUAGAAAAGAAUAUAUUUGGUUGUAUUUGGACGGAGAGAUGGUUCAGCAGUUAAGAGCAAUUGCUGCUUUUGCAAAAACUCAAACUCCAUUCCCAGCACCCAUAUCAGAUGGCUCACGACCACCUCUACCUCUAAUGCCUCUGCCCUCUGAGGACCCCUGUACCCAUGACUACAUGCCCAUACACAGAUACAUAAAUUAAAAAUAAAAUAAAUCUGGGGCUGGAGAGAUGACUCAGAGGUGAACAGCUGCUCCCCAGAGGACCAGAGCUCGGUUCCCAGCACCCAUGAGGGCAGCUCAAACACCCUGUAACUUUAGUCCCAUGGGAUCCAAUGCCCUCUUCUGGCCCCCGCAGGUGCCACAUGCACAAGUGCCCACCCACAAACACACACUCAUACACAGAAUUUCUUUUUAAUUUAAAAUAUAUCUUAAAUUUUUUUCUUACACGUCUUUAGACCAGUCUGGCCUUGAACUCACAGAAAUAUGCCUACUGCUGCCUCGUGAGUGCUGGGAUUAAAGGUAUGCACAGCCACCACCUGGCUGUUACACAUUUUCAUAUGAAAUAAAGUAUCUUAGUUAGGGUUUCUAUUGCUGUCAAGAGACAGGAUGACCAUGGCAAAUCAUGGGAAGCAUUUAAUUGAGUGGCUUACAGUUUCAGAGCUUUAGUCCAUUACUAUGGCAGGACAUGGUGGCAUACAGGCAGACAUGGUGCUAGAGAAGGAGCUGAAUGGAGGAGUUAUAUCUUGAUCCUGCAAGCAACAGGAAGUGAACUGAGACACCGGACAAGGCUUGAGCAUAUGAGACCUCAAAACCCACCUCUACAGUAACACACUUCCUCCAACAAGGAUGCACUUCCUAAUAGUGUUACUUCCUAUGAGCUUUUGGGGACCAAUUACAUUCAAACUACCACAUAAAGUAAAAGAGAAAACGAAUAUCUGGCCAUGUGACUCCGCAGGUGUCCCUGUCCUUCCUUGCUUGUGACAGGUAACUUGUACAUGAGCACAGCUCUCUGUCAACAGUGUCGCAGCUCCGGACACUCACCCCCAGGAGCUAGAUUGCAGACAGCAGAGAUCUGGUUUAUUUUUGCUCUAUUCCCUCUGUGGAGUGGGGAGGGAUCUUCAGCAGCACAGGGAGACUGUGCUAGCGUGUGGUCCCCAGGUGCUUAGAAGAAAGUGGCUUGAAAUUGUUUUGGUGAAAUUCUCUGAAAGACACUUCUGUGUUUUGGCCAUAAUCCCUUUCUGUUUGGCCUGGGCCUUGUCUUCCAAGGUGUUCCCAGACUCCUCCAGAGUCUCUAGUAGGCCACCCAGGCAGGAGCUCGGCUGGAGGAAACUCGUUUUGUGUGUUCAGACUGUACACCUCAAACUCUGUGCAGCCCAGGGUAACCUGGAACUUGCUGUGAUCCUUCUGUCUUGGUUCUUGUCCAGACUGGUGGUUCUCACCCUUCCUAAUCCAGUUCCUCCUGUCGUGGGGACCCCAACCAUAACAUUAUUUUCGUUGCUACUUCACAACUGUAAUUUUGCUACUGUUAUGAAUUGUAAUGUAAGUACCUGCCCCCCCCCCCAAAGUCAUUCAAUCGCCAAAGGGGUCGAGGCCCAUAGGUUGAGAACCAUUGGUCGAAAGUCUUUUCCCCUGUCUUGUGGACCUGCUGAGUGACCAAUUUCCCAGGCAGAGUAGGUCUGCCAGGGAUUCUCACUGGAGACUGGAAGGUUCCAGAACCGCUUAUCCGAGUUUUCUGAGAAGUGUGAUUUUUUUUUUCUUUUGCUUUCUUUUUUUUUUUGGGGGGGGGUGUGGGCUUCAAGACAGGGUUUUUCUGUGUAAGCCUGGAUGUCCUGGAACUUGCUCUGUAGGCCAGGCGGCCUUGUGCUGGGAUUAAAGGGUUAUGUCACCACCACCCAGGGAGGAGUGUGAUUCUUCAAAGACUUAAUGAACCCUUCCCCACCCUCGCCCACGUGAACAGCAGAAGCAGGAAGGCCUGGUGUCCCAGAAUGCCAGGCUGCAAGAGUUCUCAGAGAGGAUGUUGCCUGGUGCCAUCAGGUUGCUCCUGUGGAAACCCGGGCCUGACAGGAGCUUAGGGAAUCUGAAAAGGUCAAGUGGAAAAACUUGAGCAGGUCUCCCAUCUCGGCAGUAACAAACAGGCUUAUGGUGAGUUUCACCUAACUGUCCACCCAGGGUUAUUUUUAUCUGAAUGCACUAACAGGAGUUUUCUUCCAAAAGAUUCCAGCAGGGGGCAGCCAAACAUAAGCAUAGGUCUCAAAGCUUACAAUUGUUUUACAGUAUAAGGGUACUUUAUUACAAAAGAUUUAUCUAUGUUACGAGUGUUUUGCCUGCAUGCAUGCAUGUGCACCGUGUGUGCCUGGUUGCCACAGCGGUCAGAUGAGGGGUUGGAUUCUGUGAGCCACCAUAUGAGAACUGGGAUUCAUUCUCUGGGUCCUCUGCAAGAGCAGCUAGUGUUCUUAGAUACCGAGAAAUCUCUCCAACCCCAGAUUAAAUCUUAAAAGAAGAAUUUCUGCACGACUAGGCCUAUGUUUUAUCUUAUCGACCUAUAAUCUUGUCCAAGGCUCCCCAGAAGCUGCCCUACGAUCUGAUCUCACGUAGGAAAGGAAUGGGGGCGGGGGAAGAGAAGGGAAGAGAGGAAACGAUGGUUGGGGAAAGGGGUACGGUGGCACACUCCUGUGACCCCAGCAGGGUGAAGACCAGCCUCAGCUAUGUGAGACUGUGUCUCAAAAACAAAAGGAAAAAGAAAAAAACAUGCAGGUGUGUGGCACACUCCUGUGACCCCAGCACUUGGGAAGCAGAGGAAGGGCUGUCUCUGGUUUGGAAGAAAAUGACCUUAAAGGGAGUGGCACUAUUCGGAGGUGUGGCGUUUUGGAGUAGGUGUGUCUUAUUGGAGGAAGGGUGUCACUUUGGAAGUGAACUUUGAGGUCUCAUAUAUGCUCAAGAUACCACCCAUUGAGCCACCUCCCAAAAGCUGUGUAGCUUCAGUGAACCUUCCGUUUCCUGUACACAUCCCCUGCAGCUGGAGGUGAUGCCCAGGAGAGUGCACGACUGUAGUCUGGAUGGGGCACAGUCUUGUUGGAGCCACAACUGUCCUGCUGAGGACAGAAGAGCUUGUUCAGCAACAGAAGCCGUACAGGGGUGUGCCCUGCUGGGUGUGGUCCCAGGAGUUCCUCCCUGUGCCAGCGUGUGUUGGCCGAAUGGAAUUUACUUUUCCAAUUGACCCGGAGUUGCAGUUAACUGAUUGCUUUGAGUCUCAGAAGAGGCUUUGGACUUUGAAACAGAGACUGUGAAGGAUUAUGGGGACUUUUGGAGUUGGAUUGAGAGCCUUUUUGGAUUAUGAUUUAGCUCCAAGCCUGUGGGUGCCAGGGAGUGGGAUGUGGUGGUUUGAUUAGAAUAACUCCCAUAGGCUCAGACUUUGAAUACUUGGUUCCCAGUUGGUGGACUGUUUAGGAAGGUUAGGAGGUGUGGCCUUGUUGGAGAACGUGUGUCACUGCUAGUGGGCUUUGGGGUUUCAAAAGCCUAUACUAACUAGGCCUCUCUCUAUCCUUCCAUCAUCUUGCAGACCAGAUGUAAGCUCUCAGCUUUUGCCCCAGUGCCACGCCAGCCUGCUUGCUGCCAUGAACUAGCUUUCUGAGCUGUAAGCAGACCCCAAAUUAACUGCCUUCCUUUGAAGCUGCUUUGGUCAUGGUGUCUUCUCACAGCAGUAGAAAAGUAACUAAGACAUAUAGCAUACUUACACACACACACACACACACACACAAGUGUAUCUCUUUAAAGUGGGCCUGUCCAGCCAGGCGAUGGUGGCGAAUGCCUUUAAUCCCAGCACUCGGGAGGCAGAGGCAGGUGGAUCUCUGUGAGUUGUUCAAGACCAGCCUGGUCUACAAGAGCUAGUUCCAGGACAGGCUCCAAAGCCACAGAGAAACCCUGUCUCGA